UUCAAUAUUUUGGGCACUAGUUAAUUUAAUUUGGAAUUAAAUUAGAUCAUUUUUCCUUAAGGGACGUCUUGGACCAAGUAAGUGCUGCAGCGCGGGAAUUCUUCAGCAGGGGGGCUCGAGCACUGCAACCUCUCUAGGGUAAGUUAUUUCAAAUGAGUCUUGAACCGAUAGUCGUUGGCGACCUAAUUACGAAUUUUGGCAUAUUAAACAGUUAGGACCUCGUCGCUUGGAAAGCGUACUGCCUCGCGGUUAGGACUCGUCAAGUAAAUCUCCAGGUAGAGGACGGGGCAAGGGCAAGGGCAAGCUGGCGAGCGACCCGAAGUGAGACCGUGGAGGGCCAUAGGGACUACCGCUUCCGCUUAUUCUUAUUUCAGAUUUUCGCAUUUGAAUUUGAGUACUUUUCAUCACUUACCAUCUUUUAUGUAGAUAGGGCCCGAGUAGGAUUUCAGAACGCUUUUACAUUUUUGCAUGACUACCUUGUUUAAAUUUUAUAAAUAAAAUUUCUUAAACCGUA